UGGGGAAUAUUGCACAAUGGGCGCAAGCCUGAUGCAGCCAUGCCGCGUGUAUGAAGAAGGCCUUCGGGUUGUAAAGUACUUUCAGCGGGGAGGAAGGGAGUAAAGUUAAUACCUUUGCUCAUUGACGUUACCCGCAGAAGAAGCACCGGCUAACUCCGUGCCAGCAGCCGCGGUAAUACGGAGGGUGCAAGCGUUAAUCGGAAUUACUGGGCGUAAAGCGCACGCAGGCGGUUUGUUAAGUCAGAUGUGAAAUCCCCGGGCUCAACCUGGGAACUGCAUCUGAUACUGGCAGGCUUGAGUCUCGUAGAGGGGGGUAGAAUUCCAGGUGUAGCGGUGAAAUGCGUAGAGAUCUGGAGGAAUACCGGUGGCGAGGGCGGCCCCCUGGACGAAGACUGACGCUCAGGUGCGAAAGCGUGGGGAGCAAACAGG
rnacentral:rRNA from 1 species